CAGCCGCGGUAAUACAGAGGGUGCAAGCGUUGCUCGGAUUGACUGGGCGUAAAGCGUACGCAGACGGUGAGGAAGGUCGGAUGUGAAAGCCCUGGGCUCAACCCGGGAACUGCAUCCGAAACCAUCUCGCUCGAGUGUGGGAGAGGGAAGCGGAAUUCCUGGUGUAGAGGUGAAAUUCGUAGAUAUCAGGAGGAACACCGGCGGCGAAGGCGGCUUCCUGGCCCAUUACUGACGCUCAUGCACGAAAGCGUGGGGAGCAAAC
rnacentral:rRNA from 1 species